rnacentral:rRNA from 1 species
CACGUAGGGGGCAAGCGGUUGUCCGGAUUUAUUGGGCGUAAAGAGCUCGUAGGCGGCUUAGUAAGUCGGGGUGUGAAACCUCCAGGCUCAACCUGGAGACGCCACCCGAUACUGCUGUGGCUAGAGUCCGGUAGGGGAGCGUGGAAUUCCUGGUGUAGCGGUGAAAUGCGCAGAUAUCAGGAGGAACACCGAUGGCGAAGGCAGGUCUCUGGGCCACUACUGACGCUGAGAAGCGAAAGCAUGGGGAGCGAACAGG